rnacentral:rRNA from 1 species
UACGAAGGGGGCGAGCGUUGUUCGGAAUCACUGGGCGUAAAGAGUGCGUAGGCGGUUAUGUAAGUUAGAAGUGAAAGCCCAGGGCUCAACCUUGGAAUUGCUUUUAAAACUACAUAACUCGAAUUUGGGAGAGGAUAGCGGAAUUGUCAGUGUAGCAGUGAAAUGCGUAGAUAUUGACAGGAACACCAGUGGCGUAAGCGGCUAUCUGGACCAACAUUGACGCUGAGGCACGAAAGCGUGGGGAUCAAACAGG